CCUCGCCCCCCCCCUUCUCCGGCGACGGCAAAUGCUUCGUGUUGGGAGAAUUUGUUCAAGAUCUUCAACUUGUGCAGUUUCUUCAUUGCUGGUGGGUCCAAGACAUUUGAUUGGUCAUGAAAGCCCACAUUGCUUGGAUUCUAAGUGUUCGUGGACUAACCACAGUGGUGCAAAUAGAAUUGGAUUCUUGAACACAAGGCUAAAUAUCAGUAGUUGUGGUGCAUAUUUAUCAACUCUUACUGAAACAGUUCUGGUCCAAGCUCAUGACCCAUCCCUGCUAGCAUUGGAGAUAGAGAAUGCAAUCGAUCAGCAGAGGUUUGAUGAUGCGUGGUGGGCUUAUCAGAAGCAUAUUCACAUGGAAGGACCCCCAAGGAAGUCUGUUUUGAGUAAGCUCAUAACUGGCUUCGCAGAGACCUGUGAUACUCACUGGCUUAACAAGUCCUACAAUGUGGUUAAUCAUGCAUUUGAAGAGAAGAGUGAACUGUUGGAGAAGGAGCCCCUUAUUUUCCUUUCUCUUGCUCUCGCACGGUCUUGUCUCCCUAAUCUUGCUAUAAAUGUUGUGAGGAAGUUGGUAAAGAUGGAAACAUACCCACCUGUUGCAGCAUGGUCGGCUAUCCUAGCACAUAUGUGCCAAACUGCAACCGGUGUAUCUCUUGCUGCUGACAUGGUAAUGGAGAUUGGCUACCUUUUCCAGAACAAUAGGGUUGAUCCACGGAAGAAGAGCAACCGUUCAUUGUUAUCAAUGAAGCCCAAUUCGUUGACCUUCAACAUAAUUCUGACUUCAUCCCUUCUGUUUGGCACUACAAAAAAGGCAGAGCAGCUUCUUGAAUUAAUGCCUAGGAUAGGGUUGAAGCCUGAUGUCAGCUUGUUAAUUGUAAUGGCCCGGAUAUAUGAGCAGAAUGGACAUAGAGAUGAGAUCAAGAAGUUGAGGAGGCAUGUUAAUGAGGUAUGUGGCCUAAGUGAAUCAGAGUUAAGGCAGUUCUAUGAUUGCUUGCUCUCCUGCCAUUUGAAAUUUGGAGAUUUGGAUUCUGCAGUGGAUAUUGUAUUGGAUAUGCUUAGGAAAGGUAGAAGUACAAAAAGUUCACUUGAAGCAGCUAAAGCAGUUCUUGAAGCAGUUGAAAAUAACAAAAUUUAUCUUCCUCAUGAGAAAACUGGGCCUGACACUGCAGCUUCCUCGAACAAAUCUUUAUCUACUGAUACUCCGCUGCUAAAAUAUGUUCCAUUCUUCAAAGAUAAGAGCUUUGCAAGGCUUGAAUUGGAUGCAAGAAGAUUACUCAAGUUGCUAUCAGAUAAGCUUCAGGAUCAGGCUGCGCUAGUAAAAUCUGAAUGUGGUAUCCUUCAUCCAACUGAAACAAUGUAUGCCAAACUUGUUAAAGCUUUUUUGGAAGCAGACAAAAUCAGUGCAUUGGCGUCGUUUCUUGUGAAAGCAAGUAAAGAGGACUCACCUGUCUCUGUUGAAAGAUCCUUUGUUGUUCAAGUAAUAAACGCAUGCAUUUCUCUUGGGUUAUUAGAGCAAGCACACGACCUUCUUGACGAGAUGAGAUUUUCUGGAAUUAGAGUUGGUUCUACUGUUUAUUCAUUGCUCCUAAAGGCCUAUUGCAAAGAGGGCCACCAUGAAGAUGACAUAACUGCACUUCUGAAAGAUGCUCAACAAGCAGGCAUUCAGCUUGAUGCAAGCUGCUAUGAGGAUUUGAUACAAUCCAGAGCACAUCAUAAUAAUGCCACAGGUGCUCUUGAUCUUUUUAAAGAACUGAAGAGCUUGAAUAUUUCGAAAACUGGUCACAAUGAAUUUGAGAUAUCAGUACAAGGCUGUGAUAACAAUGGAACUGCUUUGACAACUAAGUUAGUGGAGGAAGUCAGAAAUGGUCAUGUGGUUAAUCAUGCUAUUCAUGACUGGAAUAAUAUGAUCCAUUUCUUCUGCAAGAAGAGGUUGAUGCAUGAUGCUCACAAAGCACUGAGCAAGAUGCGAGCUUUAGGCCACACGCCAAAUGCACACACAUUCCAUUCUUUAGUAACUGGUUAUGCUGCCAUUGGUGGUAAAUAUGUAGAGGUGACAGAUUUGUGGGGCGAAAUGAAAGUAUUGGCCAACUCAAGUUCAAUGAAGUUUGAUCAAGAGCUCCUAGACUCUCUAUUGUACUGCUUUGUGAGAGGUGGUUUCUUCCUUCGAGCCAUGGAAGUCAUAGAAAUGAUGGAAAAAGGCAAGUUGUUUAUAGACAAAUACAAGUACAAGUCCCUAUGGCUUAAAUACCACAGAACAUUGUACAAAGGUAAGGCUCCUAAAGUGCAAACAGAAGCACAAGUGAAACGGAGGGAAGCAGCAUUGCAUUUCAAGAGAUGGAUUGGCUUAACAUGAAAAGCACGUAGUCUUGAAAACACCAAGUUUGAUGGAUAGCUCUGCUGCUUUUUUCAUUGUAUGCUAUAGGAGAUGUUCUGGUACCAGACUGGUUGGCUAUCUCUAUAUGGAUGGACAUUAGACACAACUGUAUCGAAACCUCUGGGACAUUGUGUUAAGCUUGACAUUGUGGCAUGGAUAUGUAGGCAUCAUUCCAUAGUGCCCGUAUGUAUUAACAAUGUGUACUUGUGUAUUAGCCACUGAUGCUUAGGCAAUAGAUAAAGGCAUUGUAAUUCUCGGAUUUGUACACCAACCUUCCUUUAAUCUUAAGUACAUUCAUCAGCCUCCUUCAGCCGACCCGACAAAAAAUAGUUGGAGGCAGAAGGCUUCUUUUUCCGAAUGGACCUGUGCAUCGAAGUAUAUGGUUUCUUAGCACACAAACACUACUGAGAUCAUUUGAGUGUUGAUAUAGCAAAAGAUGGUGGCCUGGUGCAGCUUCAAGAACCAUUGCAGUUCGUGUGCAAGGGAAGGGCAGAAAUGCAGAAUGCAAUUUCUCCAUACAUUAGAGAGGAUAAAAUGGUGCAGUUGCUUCUCCUGGCUGCUUCUCUCUCUCACUAAGCAAAACUCUCAUUUCCAAAAACAAAAAAGUUGCUUUGUCUAGGGUGCUCCCGAAAUGUUCUUUGGCUAUGGGUACCAAUUAAGUACCAACUGAAGCAUGAUUUUUGCAACGUCCUUUUCUCAUAUAGUUCAAGUUGCACUACCAUUUGAUCGAACCUUGAUGCACUUCUAAUCCAUUAUUCGUCAUGAUAAGGUACUAUACCUCAGUUUUAUCCUCUGGAGGCAGCAGUAGCUGCCUAUGGGUUAUAUGGAUUUCUUUCCUUGGAAAGCUGCAAGCUGAAGGUGAGGUGCUGUCGUGCUGAUAUCACAACUUUUCGUGCCUCGAGAUUCGGGCCGGAUUGAAUAAUAAGCGCUUUGCUCUUUUGCUCUCUUCGUGCAUGCGUACUUGUGAGCCAAUUGAUGGUGUUUUUGCACGUACUUGCCUCAAAGGCAGGAUCACACGCUAAUUCCUGGUUGCGUGACACUUUCACUCCAUUGCCUUGCCAUCCAAGAUAUAUCAGAAUGAAUGAUGUGAUUUUUUUUCUCCUGACCUGGAGGAGAUCAGUGAUCAGAGCUGCAGCUAGGACAUGAUGCUGUGAAAAGAGCAGCAGCCCCCAGCUGAUGAGUCAUGACAGUUUGUGGCACUCCCCAAUCAUUAGCAGAAGACAUAAUCAACUCAGAACUGCAUGCAAGAUCAGGGCAGGUAGGUAAUGGGAAGAAAAAAUGUGAAUGAUGGAUGGAUGCAUCUUGUCUAUUAUAUUAUAAGGAGAUGGAGAAAGUAAGCGGAUGUUUAGAUGUGGUUAAACUUUUUAGCCCUAUGUUAUAUCGGAUGUUUGGACACUUAAUAUUAAACGUAUUAAUAUUAAAC